rnacentral:rRNA from 1 species
AACGAACGCUGGCGGCAUGCCUAACACAUGCAAGUCGAACGAGACCUUCGGGUCUAGUGGCGCACGGGUGCGUAACGCGUGGGAACCUGCCCUUAGGUUCGGAAUAACUCCCCGAAAGGGGUGCUAAUACCGGAUAAUGUCUUCGGACCAAAGAUUUAUCGCCUUUGGAUGGGCCCGCGUUGGAUUAGCUAGUUGGUAGGGUAAAAGCCUACCAAGGCGACGAUCCAUGGCUGGUCUGGGAGGAUGAUCAGCCGCACUGGGACUGAGACACGGCCCAGACUCCGACGGGAGGGAGCAGUGGGGAGUAUUAUGCGAGGGGCGAUAACGUAGUCCAGCAGUGCGGGGUGUGAGGUGAAGGCCGUAGUAUUGUAAAGCUCUUUGUCCCGAGAUGAGAGUGACAGUAACGGGAGAAUAAGCUCCGGCUAACUCCGUG